AGAGUUUGAUCCUGGCUCAGGACGAACGUUGGCGGCGUGCCUAAUGCAUGCAAGUCGAACGAGGAACCCGGUCCGCGUAAGCGGACUGGGUUACCUAGUGGCGAACGGGUGAGUAACACGUGAGGAACCUGCCCCGGAGACCGGAAUAGCCCAGGGAAACUUGGAUUAAUGCCGGAUGUCCUCGGAUGGUCGCAUGGUCGACCGAGGAAAUAGUCCGCUGCUCCGGGAUGGCCUCGUGGCCUAUCAGCUUGUUGGUGAGGUAACGGCUCACCAAGGCGACGACGGGUAGCUGGUCUGAGAGGACGAUCAGCCACACUGGGACUGAGACACGGCCCAGACUCCUGCGGGAGGCAGCAGCAGGGAAUUUUGCACAAUGGACGAAAGUCUGAUGCAGCGACGCCGCGUGGGGGAUGAAUGCCUUCGGGUUGUAAACCCCUUUCAGGAGGGACGAAGCGAAAGUGACGGUACCUGAGAAUAGCC
rnacentral:rRNA from 1 species